AGCGCAGGCGGGACAGCAAGUUGGAUGUGAAAUACCGGGGCUCAACCCCGGGGCUGCAUCCAAAACUGUUGUUCUUGAGUGAAGUAGAGGUUGGCGGAAUUCCGAGUGUAGCGGUGAAAUGCGUAGAUAUUCGGAGGAACACCAGUGGCGAAGGCGGCCAACUGGGCUUUAACUGACGCUGAGGCUCGAAAGCAUGGGGAGCAAACA
rnacentral:rRNA from 1 species